CUCUUAGCUCAGUCGGCAGAGCGUUUCCAUGGUAAGGAAAAGGUCGUGGGUUCGAUUCCCACAGAGGGCUCAGCCA
rnacentral:tRNA from 1 species